GACGAACGCUGGCGGCGUGCCUAAUACAUGCAAGUCGAGCGGGGAUGCGAAGGAGCUUGCUCCUGAGCAUCCUAGCGGCGGACGGGUGAGUAACACGUAGGCAACCUGCCCGUAAGACCGGGAUAACCCACGGAAACGCGGGCUAAGACCGGAUAAGCGGUUUUCUCGCAUGAGGGAAUCGGGAAAAGAGGAGCAAUCUUCUGCUUACGGAUGGGCCUGCGGCGCAUUAGCUAGUUGGUGGGGUAACGGCUCACCAAGGCGACGAUGCGUAGCCGACCUGAGAGGGUGAACGGCCACACUGGGACUGAGACACGGCCCAGACUCCUACGGGAGGCAG
rnacentral:rRNA from 1 species